AACUGCAGUAGCUCAGUUGGUAGAGUGUUGGACUCGUAAUCCAAGAAUCACAGGUUCAAUAUCUGCCUCUGUCG